CAACCAAACUUUGGAAGAGGUCCCGAAAAUGACAUGCGGUGUCUUGAGAGCCCCUCGUGCAACCCAGUGGUAUAUAUUCCAGCCACCCAUUUGCACGAACAAGCCAUUCAUAUUGCAGAGAACACACUUGCAGCACUGGACCCUAGUACGUAUUUCCCACAGUUCAGUUUGUCUUAUGUGUGACUCUCCGGUGCAGUGUUUUUUUUAUUUGUAGAUUUGUCACGUAGUGCAGAGGUCCAAAACCACUGAUGCGCCGGCCAGUGGGCGCGGCCCAUGUGGUACUGGCCCCUCACGGAGACAGACUAAAAUCUUUUUUUUUUUUUUUGUAUUUGGCUGGGUCUCAGUCAACCACACCACACUCUUUCAAGACCACCCAGCCAGUUGAUUAUCUUCCAACGGGCGAUAUAAAUAGAGCUGGGUGACGGAUAUAUGAUCAAGAUUCGUGAUAUUAAGUGACCAGAGGCGAGCAGCGAUCACAUUUACGCCAUCAGACGCGGCGGAAAUGUGCGCGACUCUAGCCAAUCGGAGUCCGCUUUGCAACAUUGGUUUGCAAGUUGAAGUAAACAGAAGCCGCCAAUAAAUGAAAGAAGCAGUACACAGAAAGUCAUAGCAACAAAUCGACGAAACUAACAGCCAAACGCGCAGCUCGUGGGCAGCCAACACUUCCGCAAAUGAAGCUAUUUUGACAAGAGAAGCUCCUGCCCGAGCGGUAUCUAUCUCCAGAGCGACGUGGAGGAGGAAAUAAGCUGCUCUUCACGCAAGGUUCCCAAAAAGACAGGUCUCAACAAGUAAUAAACAUUUCCAGUAACUGUACGCGAAAGAGGCUUUCAAGCUCCAGUCAUGGCUGAGUCCAGGAAGUAAAGUCUGACACCGCUGAUCAAAGUGGAGCAGCUGGAGCUCUGGUGCGGCCGACACAACCUCGGGCUGAACACGCUCAAGACUGUAGAGAUGAUCGUGGACUUCAGGAAACAUUCUUCUCCUCAGUUGCCCCUCACACUAUCCAAUUGCCCUGUGUCAACCGUCGAGACCUUCAAGAUCCCCCGCACCCUGCCCACCACCUUUUUCAGCCACUCCCCUCAGGCAGACGCUACAGAUCCAUGCGCACCAAAUCCAGUAGACACUUAAACAGCUUCUUCCCUCUAGCCAUUAACUCCUUAAACAGUCACUGACGUAGUCACUCUUCUUGCACCACAAAAUGGUACUACAAAACUACUGGUUACUCUAAAAUGGUUCAAUGAUUUUGUUGUUUACGAUGAUACUAGUGCAGCGUGUUAUACCGGAGACAAAUUCCUUGUGUGUUCUACAUACUUGGCCAAUAAAGAUGAUUCUGAUUCUGAUUCUGAUUAU